AACAUCGCGCACCUGCGGGAACCUGCGGAGGGAUCAUUACAGAGUUGCAAAACUCCCUAAACCAUUGUGAACGUUACCUAAACCGUUGCUUCGGCGGGCGGCCCGGGUCCUUCCCGGCGCCCCUCGGCCUCGCGGGCGCCCGCCGGAGGUAAACCAAACUAUUGCAUUGUAUGGCCUCUCUGAGUCUUCUGUACUGAAUAAGUCAAAACUUUCAACAACGGAUCUCAGAUCGGAAGAGCA
rnacentral:misc_RNA from 1 species